rnacentral:rRNA from 1 species
AUCGAACGCUGGCGGCAGGCCUAACACAUGCAAGUCGAGCGAGCGGCGGACGGGGGCGUAAUGUCUGGUAAACUGCCUGAUGGAGGGGGAUAACUACUGGAAACGGUAGCUAAUACCGCAUACAAUCAGAUUGGCCCAGAUGGGAUUUGCUAGUAGGUGGGGUAAUGGCUCACCUAGGCGACGAUCCCUAGCUGAUCUGAGAGGUUGACCAGCCACACUGGAACUGAGACACGGUCCAGACUCCUACGGGAGGCAGCAGUGGGGAAUAUUGCACAAUGGACGCAAGCCUGAUGCAGCCAUGCCGCGUGUGUGAAGAAGGCGUUCGGAUUGUAAAGCUCUUUCGGCGGAGAGGCGUUACCCAAAGAAGAAGCACCGGCUAACUCCGUGCCAGCAGCCGCGGUAAUAC